CACGUAGUUAGCCGGCGCUUCUUCUGCAGGUACACGUCAGUUUCGUCCCUGCCGAAAGAGGUUUACAACCCGAAGGCCUUCAUCCCCCACGCGGCGUCGCUGCGUCAGGCUUUCGCCCAUUGCGCAAGAUUCCCCACUGCUGCCUCCCGUAGGAGUCUGGGCCGUGUCUCAGUCCCAGUGUGGCCGGACACCCUCUCAGGCCGGCUACCCGUCGUCGCCUUGGUAGGCCGUUACCCCACCAACUAGCUGAUAGGCCGCGAGCCCAUCCCUGACCGGAAGACCCGAAGGUCAACCUUUCCACCACCGGUCAUGCGGCCGGCGGUGCGUAUCCGGUAUUAGACCCGGUUUCCCAGGCUUAUCCCAGUGUCAGGGGCAGGUUGCUCACGUGUUACUCACCCGUUCGCCGCUCGAGUACCCCCGAACGGGGCCUUUCCGCUCGACUUGCAUGUGUUAGGCACGCCGCCAGCGUCGUCUGCGCGACGGAUCAACUAC
rnacentral:rRNA from 1 species